rnacentral:rRNA from 1 species
UGAGGAAUAUUGGUCAAUGGGCGAGAGCCUGAACCAGCCAAGUAGCGUGCAGGAUGACGGCCCUAUGGGUUGUAAACUGCUUUUAUGUGGGGAUAAAGUGCGUGACGCGUCAUGCAUUGCAGGUACCACAUGAAUAAGGACCGGCUAAUUCCGUGCCAGCAGCCGCGGUAAUACGGAAGGUCCGGGCGUUAUCCGGAUUUAUUGGGUUUAAAGGGAGCGUAGGCUGUCUAUUAAGCGUGUUGUGAAAUUUACCGGCUCAACCGGUGGCUUGCAGCGCGAACUGGUCGACUUGAGUAUGCAGGAAGUAGGCGGAAUUCAUGGUGUAGCGGUGAAAUGCUUAGAUAUCAUGACGAACUCCGAUUGCGCAGGCAGCUUACUGUAGCAUAACUGACGCUGAUGCUCGAAAGUGCGGGUAUCAAACAGG